UGUAAAGCCCAGGCAAAUAGCGUUUGCUUGCCUGGCUGAGCAUCCGGCCGUCGGCGCCUCGCAAGCCGCCGCGGCGCCGCCUCCGUCGCUCUCAGUCUCUCGUUCUCCUUUCUCCUCCCGACUCCUGGUCGUGCUGCUUCGAACCAUGCAGCCCUGCAGGGCUCCAGGCCGCCGGAGGAUCUGAUAAAGAAGGGACCUGGCAGUCGUCCCCUUGUCGACGGCAGCGCUACUGUUGGGCGUCAAGAUGGAGGUGGACAGUCGAGCGCCUAGGCAUGGCGUGGUGGCAGCGGCCGCCGGCCCGGUCGGCAGGUGCAGCUCGGCGGCCGGCAGCCAGCAUCCAAUGCGCGGCCAAGACAGGUCGACUUUAAGCCAGGUCCAACUCCAAUCUCUAGCAAUAGCAAGGCAACAACAGAAGGAUUGACAUAGGAGGUCCCAUACCAUGCUGAAGUGGCUGUAGUGGAAGAUGUCAGUGUCGCUAAUGGCAUAUGCUCGAUCUUGUAUUCCUUUUGGUUGUCCGAGAUUUGAUUGAGCCUGCUGUUGAUUUUCUUGAGUCGACCAGACAAUUCAUGUCGGAGAAGGAUUUGGGUCCAGCAGCCAAGCAGCCAAGCAGGGGAUGGAAUGGGAAGGAAACCUUGCGGAAGAACUCGUCGAGGGCGUCCUCUGCUUCGAAGGCGACGUCGCGCGUCUGACGCACCCACACACAGGUCAACCGGUCGGCGCCGGUGCGGCGCCUGUGGUCGGCGUCGCGGAGGAAGGCCUGCAGCCACUCCAGCCGGUCCCGCAGCAGCAUCAUGUCGUCUCCUACCUCCAGCAACACCUUGGCCUCGCUCGCUGCCAGCCCUCCGAACUUUGAGAGCACCGCCGCGAUCGCCGUCUCCGCCAUUGUUGAGAUGUUCUCUCUCUCUCGUAGGUAAGGUACGCCUCUCGAUCUUGGGCUCUGUUCACUCACAAAGCUAGCCCUGCUCUGCUCGUGUUCUGAUGUUGUGCAUGUAGGGGAAAGCAUGUGAUCGACCAGCUUGCAUGCUGCUCAGUCAUGGACCAACGCAGCACAGGCACAACCACCGCGCAUUCACCCCGUAAGGUACGAUUGUACGAAGUUGCUGACAGUAGUGGACAGCGGGCAUGUGCUUCUGCAGCUCGCUCUCCAGGCCUGCCACUGCCAUAGCCCGGCGACUCCUGUCUGCUCCGCUCGUCAAGCUUCAGUAGCUCACUGGUCACUAGUAAACUGUAAUCCAGUGAAAUUGUAAAAGAUAUUUUCUUAAUAUUCUGUUUGUUAGAUCUUGAACGCUGCAGAAAUGGUGCAUAUAAUUUUUUUUGGA